AGCAGCGUGACUUAGUGGAAAGAGUGCGGGCUUGGGAGUCAGAGGACGUGGGUUCCAAUCCCGCCUCUACCA
rnacentral:tRNA from 1 species